CUUAUACUAUUUUGUUUCCUUAUGUGACCAUGCCAUACUUUGUGAUUCUUUUCCUUUUAAAAAAAUGUAAUAUUCCUUAAUUAAAGGGGAGUCCCUGUACUUAUUUGAUUAUGAUUUAUAUUAGUUCCUUAAAUAUGGAUUAAUACCUUAUUUGUUCACUCGUUUUAAUACUAAAAAUAUUCCUCACCUUUCUCUUUGAACACACCAACACACACUGCUCUCACAACCUCCGACUCUCUGAAUUCUCUAUUCCUCUGCUAUUACUAUACUAUCUCAUUCUCUUGUUUGAACACUCAAUUGGCUCAGAGCCAAGAUGUGGUAGCCUGGGUUGAUUACUUUACACUAUUGGGUUCUAUUUGUUUGUCUACAUUGGGCUGUUGCUGCUGCUAUUCUCAUAUUGUACGCGAGUUAAUUACUUUACACUACUAGGUUCUAUUUGUUUGUCUACAUUGGCUCUGUUGCUACUGCUGUUCUCAUAUUGUUUUUGCUGUUCUCAUUUUGCUGUUGCUGUUCUCAUAUUUCUAUUGCUAUUCUCAUAGUGCUGUUACUCACACUGCUGCUCUCAUUCUUUGCACACUUUGCCCGCCCUUUGUGCAUUAUUGCAUUGCUAUUGUAUCUUAUUACCUACAACUGGUAUGUCACCUAUUUAAGAUAUAGCCUCCAAAACGACAUGCUCCUUUUAGUUUUGCAAUUCAUACUAUUUCUUGUGUUCUUUUACCUAUGGUUCAGUUUCUUUUAUUGUCACUAGCAUGCAGUUGUUAGUAUACUAGUUUAACUUAGCAUGUUCUCCCUUAUCCCCCUUCCCUUUGUCUCAAUGCAUGUUUUUCACUUCCAUAUGCACUAUUGCUUGGCUACGUAACAGCCUUGAAACCUCUCCCUGAGGUUGAUUAUAUUUGGGAUUUGGUGCAGUAAGAAUUCAAUCCUUGUUUUACAACCAUGCUUGAUUGUUUUCCUCCAAUAUGUUGACUAUACACUUUACUUAUUUGCUCCCUUAUCCCUCCUCUGUCUCAAUGAAUAUUUACCAUUCCUUGUGUGCUACUACCAUGCAUCCAUGUGUGAUUGGCUACUUGUUUAACCUAAAAUCUCUGUUUGAAGCUAAUUGUAUUAGAGUUUGGUGCAGUAAGAAAUUGAACCCUUGUUUUACAACCAUGCUUUAUUGUUUUCCUCCAAUAUGUUGUCUGUAUGUGAGUAGUUCACUUUACUUAUUGGUCCCCUUUCCCCUUUGCCACCUCUAUUUGUGUGAUGCCCUGCUGUUCUAAAACUGGUUAGUCUAAUAUAAUUUCUUAAACUCUCUCUAAAUUCUUUCAACUAUUUUUCAAACUGGCUCAACUUUUCAAACUCUUUCAACUAUUUUCUUAAACUCUCUCAAUUCUUUCAACUGCUUUCUUAAACUGUCUCUCAACUAUUUUCAACUCUCUCAAUUACAAUCUCAUUCUUAAAGCUUUAGGGUCUUCCGCCUUAGUGUAAGCACUACCAUGGGAGCCUUGAGCACCCAUGUAACUCUGAUGCACAAGGCUGGCAUUUCCAAUGUUUGUGUAGAAAAUCACUCUAUCUAUGAUAUGUGCGCUUUGU
rnacentral:lncRNA from 1 species